AUUGAACGCUGGCGGCAGGCCUAACACAUGCAAGUCGAGCGAGCGGCGGACGGGUGAGUCAUGCCUGUGAAUUGCCCAGUCGAGGGGGAUAACAGUUGGAAACGACUGCUAAUUCCGCAUACGAUUGGAUUGCCCAGGUGGGAUUAGCUAGUUGGGGGGGUAAUGGCCCACCAAGGCGACGAUCCGUAGCUGGUCUGAGAGGAUGGUCAGCCACACUGGAACGGAGCCACGGUCCAGACUACUACGUGAGGCAGCAGUGGGGAAUAGUGCACAAGGGGCGCAAGUCUGAUGCAGCCAUGCCGCGUGUGUGAAAGAGGCCUUCGGGUUGUAAAGCACUUUCAGCGGGGAGGCGGUACUCGCAGAAGAAGCACCGGCUAACUCCGUGCCAGCAGCCGCGGUAAUUC
rnacentral:rRNA from 1 species